ensembl:lncRNA
UAUAGGUCUUCUCUUUGUAACAGAGGCUCAAAAUUAGAGUGACUUAACAAGCCGUAAGUUUCUUUCUCAUAAAACAAUCUGAUUAAAUGUAAGCAGAUCAACAGGUCAACAUUGGCAUGGCAAACAUUUAGUGCCCGUGAGUACUCCCUCUCUCUUGCUUUUCUGCCAUCCCUCUGCUGUUGGCCUUAUACACAUGAUCCAAGAAAGCCACCUGCCACAUCAACAUUUUAGGCAGCAGGAUGAGGGAAGAAGGGAAGAGGGACCAUGUUGCCAUCCUUGAAGGACAUGUCCUAGAAGUUGUUCACAUCAUUUCCUCGCCUGUCUUAUUGGCAAGAAAUGAAUCAUGUGGUCUUUCCUGCCUGCAGGAGAAUCUGGGAAAUGUUGUCAUUUUUCCAGUAGUGAUGAUUCAAGCAUUCUAGGACAGACAUGUGACAUAGUGAGCAGACAUGUAGUUGGGGGAAGUAUAUUGAUUAUAUUUCCUUAUUUUCUAUAUUCCUGAUGCACUGACAUUUAGAGCCUUAGUCAAGAGACUACCCUUCCUGGAGCUAGCUAAUUCUUAGAAAUGGCGAACAACUCUCCUGGGAGUGUGCUGUCGAUAUACAAACCCACCAAUCCAGAGCCCACACCCCCAACCAACUCCUUUAUCAAGCUCAUACACCAAGCCAGUACCCGCCCCAGAACUCCCCAGGGCCAGGUACCAGACCACUAGAGACCAUCUCUGUAGCCCAAAGACUGCCAAAACCAUUCAAACUAUCCAAUCCUAAAGUUUUCAGUGUAGCUACCCUGUCUCGCCCAUAACUUGCCACGCAUAAAAUAAAAUAAAAUAAAAUAAAAUAAAAUAAAAUAAAAUAAAAUCUAAUAAUAGACUUUGGGCCAUGCUCUGCUUUCACUCCUGGCUCCUGACUGUUCCUGUCCUUCUCCGUGUGGCCCUUUGUGACAUGCAAUCCAUCUAUUUCUAGAGAUCUGUGAAUGCAGACUACUUCCUUCAUGAUGAUCAUUUCCAUAUCUGAUGUCUUAUACUAUCUAAUGAAAACAACGCUGGGUACAUUUCCAACUUGGGGAACAACUAGAAGUCUCUGUCAGAGGCCUAUUAUAAUCUUCCACAUAUACUGCACAGUGAUUGUUCCAGGAUUAAGUGUCUGUUUUUCACCCUCCAGAGAGGAUAUUUGCUCCAUUGUGUCCAGGAUCAGCCAGACCAGGGACUUGAAAUGUGAACCUGUUUUCUGAACGUACCUGAAGGGGAAAAUCUGCCUUGGAGAAAUCAAGCUGAUAUUCAGGGGUGUCACUUCAUUUUAGUUAUUUGACAGCCUGAAGAAGUGUUUAAUUUUCUAAAUAACGUUACAAACCAAACUAAAGGGAAAACAUGUGGUAUAAAGCUUUUCAACAUUGUCCGUCUUCUGACGGGUGAAGUCUUCUUGAGAAAGUACCUUUGCCCAAUAAUACUGCUCCUCGGCCAAGAGUUGUAAUGUCCAUGGACAUUAUAAGGAACUAUAAAUGUUAGAAGGCUAGAGGAAUACAUUUGGCAAGAUAAAGGAAAAUAUCUCAGGAUGUAAGUAGUCUCUGACCCUUAAUUUUUCUUCAUGUUUUAUCAUGUAAAGAUGGCAUUACUUAUAGUGACUGUUAAUGUAUUAACAUUUCCUUGAAAAUGGAUAUUAAUCUGCUAUUAGGUUUCCUUUGUAGGAAUGUUUUACUUAGCUGUAUGAUGAAGGGAGAGCAGGGUAAUAGAGAGAUAAUAAGCUUUUCAGAUGGGCGGAUCUACCACUUAGAAAGGACCCUUGGGCAAGACAUAUAAACUCUUCGGAACUCAACUAGAUUUACUCAAAUUUAAGAAUGAGAACAAUAGUAUAUACUUCGAAAUGUUUCAGAGAAAGGUCUAUCCUAAUGCCUGCAGUAUAAAUUCCAAUAAAGAUUCUUUAAUUUCAUUUUUCA